rnacentral:misc_RNA from 2 species
AACGCACAUUGCGCCCUCUGGUAUUCCGGAGGGCAUGCCUGUCCGAGCGUCAUGUCACAAAUCAAGCGCUGCUUGGUGUUGGGAGGCCGUCCCCCCGUUGAUUCCAGCGGUCGGACGCCCCCGAAAGCCUUCGGCAGAGUCGUGUACGGUCUCCCGGCGUGAUAGAAUACCUCCCCGAGGUGACGUCGCAAGGGACCGCAUGAGCUCUAGUCCGCCCGAACCAAAAGUCUUAACCAGGUUGACCUCGGAUCAGGUAGGGAUACCCGCUGAACUUAA